UCCGUAACAAACCUUGCCGGCGAACCCGCGUCUGUUGCAGCUGAAUCACGAGCAUCGCGGGAUUCUAACCUCCCCUGGACGGUAUAUGAGCGUGGCCGCCUCCCCUCACAAUCAACCGAGGCGCCUCGUGCUGGGAGCCAUCCCCGUAGACCAAAUCUGAGAGAGGAGUGGAUGCCGCCGCGGCUAUUCUUGCCGUCGUCGUGAUUCCGCUCAUCUACCUUCGCUCGGUGUGCGUGGCAUGGUCAUCGAAGAUCUCCAGGGCGCGUUGAAGCUCGUUAUGGCGACGCCGGGCGGGAUGGCUCUCUCUGUCACCGAAAUUUCACCGGAACUGAAUCUCUAUUGUCGGGUGCCGCCGCCGCCAAAACUUCGCACCAUAUCGCCGCCCCCCCUGUUUUGUGCCCGGAGGAACUCGCGGAUUCGUGCGCAACCUCAUCGCCGACUAUUUUGGACUUGUGGUUGGCUCGGGCCACCUCGAUUGCUCACCGGUGUCCCAGCUCCGCCUCGGAUCCGCUUUGCACCGUCGACUGGCCGCAACACGGUUCCAAUUGCCGGUAACAACUUCCCCUAUGUCUCACCGUAGCUCUGCAUUUGUAUAGUUUACCUACAAUCGGACUCUGGGGCCCUGAAUUGCCGUAUCCGGUUACUCCGGCGAGGAGCGCCGCCGUAGCGCGUGCGGCAACCUCGCUGCCGUGGCGUGUGGUUGGGGAUGAGAGCCUAGCCGUCGAUUGAGCAAUCAAGGGUGCAGGUUAGAUCGGGAGGGCGGAUCAGGCCAGGGUAAAUGCGGAUCGUCCGAUCGCGAUCGGACGGGUCGGGGCGAUCGCAGGGGAUUUUAAAUCCAAACCGUAGAUUUGUAAUCGUGCGGUGCCUACUGGGUACCGAUUCGUUUCGAAGCCGGUCUAAUCGUAGCCGUAGAACUUUAAUCCAACGGCCGGGAUUGGCCCGUACCCCUUCGCGGGUACGUUUUACAAAAGAAACCCCGCCAAACUUUGAAACCAACCCGCCAUCCGCGCGGGGAUUAAGUCUGAGUCUUCAGAUAAAUUGCGCUAAGGCCCCUGUCUUUCUCAGAUUUAUUGCGCCCAGUCCAGAGCCGAGUUAAAUUGAUUAAAUGAAUUGGAAAUUGGAUUUUUAAUAUGAAAAUAAACCCUAGAACUUCAAUAAUUCAUAGAAAAUGCAUAUGAACUCCAAAUUACUUCAUUCCAGUUCCUAAAAUUUUGUAAUAAUGUUGUUCAUUACAUAGCACCUCUGUUUUAACAUGAAAAUGGUAUUAAAAUUUAUUUCUUAACUAAUCUUGUAUCAAAUACAUAAAACCUUAGGAAAUCCGUAUCUCCUUCAUUUUAAAUCCGAUUUGACUCGUUCCAGUUGCGUUAGUCUCGUAGCAACGCGUAGAUUAUUAUUACUCAGUUUAUUCUUAUGUUUGUUGUGAUGUUAAUUUUGCCUAUACCAUAUUUGUUUGUAUUGCUACGACUAGUGUGAGGUCACGAGUCACCUGAAGAUCAUCCUGGUACCUGGAAUCUCAAGUCUCAGGCAAGUUGUGCCCUUGAUCACUUCUUUUACCCACUCAUGUUCUAAUUAAUCAUAAUGAUCUGCAUAGGUUAAUUUUGAUGGGACCCAAUAGGUUACCCUAGUUUGAUUAUCUUUAUACCUUGUUUACCACUGAACUUUUUGGGUAGUACUUGCUAGUGCUUUUAUGUGGUUUUGGGUAUGAGGAUACAUUAUUCAUGAUCACACUGUUAUUAUCUGUUUAUUAUUACUGUUCAUGAUAAGAUCAUUAUGUUAAUUGGAACAUGGAGAACCACCCGGGAAAACAGUGCUACCACAAGGGUUUAAUGGGACGCCCUUGGCUGAUUAAUUAGGAAAGCUAGUGGAGGACUACCUUACCCGAAAGGGGCAAGGGCAGUAGGGGAGUGGUCAGUGUAGGGAGGCCCUCGGGAGGAUUUUGCUGUGAUGGCGGUCCUGCAAGGGAUUCCUGGGAAGGCCCUCGGGAGGAUUUUGCUGUGAUGGCGGUCCUGCAAGGGAUUCCUGGGGAGGCCCUCGGGAGGAUUUUGCUGUGAUGGCGGUCCUGCAAGGGAUUCCUGCAUUGGAGCUUCCUAUAAACUGUAGCGGGUUUUCUGAAGCUAGUGGAACUUUGUAAAGGCCUCGUAGUGUUACCCUGCCUCGCCUCCUCGGUAGAGGUGUAUGGGAAGUCGCGAUCCCUUGGCAGAUGGGUAACAUGACUUGUGGGUAAAGAUGCGCCACCUCUGCAGAGUGUAAAACUGGUAUACUAGCCGUGCUCACGGUCAUGAGCAGCUCGGACCCUCACAUGAUUAAAUUAUGGAACUUAAACUCAAUUUGUCAUAUGCAUUGCAUCGCAGGUGAGGUUAUUACUUUUGUUCUACUAUUUAACUGGGCUGGUAUUUACUUAUACUUAGUAAUUGCUAAUAAAAUUUUGACCAACUUUAAAAGCAAUGCUCAGCUCUAACCAUCCUCUUUGGUAAGCCUUACACUUCACAUGAGCUCCCGCCUUUGGCGAGUUCAUGCACAUUAUUCCCCACAACUUGCUGAGCGAUGAACGUAUGUGAGCUCACUCUUGCUGUCUCACACCCCCCCACAGGUCAAGAACAGGUACUGCAGGAUGAUGCUCAUGGAGGAUGCUGUGAUGAGUUCGUGAGAGGUCUAGGUCAUCGUCUCCCAGUCAACUUUGGGUUGCUGGACCGUUGUCUCCCUAUAAUGUAAUUAUCUAUUUAUUUUGUAUAGAACUCCUGUUAUAUAGUAAAGAUGUGACAUUCGAUCCUGUGCCAUG
rnacentral:lncRNA from 1 species